rnacentral:rRNA from 1 species
GACGAACGCUGGCGGCGUGCUUAACACAUGCAAGUCGAACGGAAAGGCCCUGCUUUUGUGGGGUGCUCGAGUGGCGAACGGGUGAGUAACACGUGAGUAACCUGCCCUUGACUUUGGGAUAACUUCAGGAAACUGGGGCUAAUACCGGAUAGGAGCUCCUGCUGCAUGGUGGGGGUUGGAAAGUUUCGGCGGUUGGGGAUGGACUCGCGGCUUAUCAGCUUGUUGGUGGGGUAGUGGCUUACCAAGGCUUUGACGGGUAGCCGGCCUGAGAGGGUGACCGGCCACAUUGGGACUGAGAUACGGCCAAGACUCCUACGGGAGGCAGCAGUGGGGAAUAUUGCACAAUGGGCGGAAGCCUGAUGCAGCAACGCCGCGUGCGGGAUGACGGCCUUCGGGUUGUAAACCGCUUUCGCCUGUGACGAAGCGUGAGUGACGGUAAUGGGUAAAGAAGCACCGGCUAACUACGG